CGGCACGGGUGAGUAACACGUAUCCAACCUGCCGUCUACUCUUGGACAGCCUUCUGAAAGGAAGAUUAAUACAAGAUGGCAUCAUGAGUCCGCAUGUUCACAUGAUUAAAGGUAUUCCGGUAGACGAUGGGGAUGCGUUCCAUUAGAUAGUAGGCGGGGUAACGGCCCACCUAGUCUUCGAUGGAUAGGGGUUCUGAGAGGAGGUCCCCCACAUUGGAACUGAGACACGGUCCAA
rnacentral:rRNA from 1 species